rnacentral:tRNA from 1 species
GGUGCUGUGGCAAAACAGGUUAAUGCCCCAGCCUGCAGUGCUGGUAUCCCAUACGGGUGCCGGUUCAAGUCCUGGCUGCUCCA